AGUAAAAGUCGUAACAAGGUUUCCGUAGGUGAACCUGCGGAAGGAUCAUUAACGAGUAACUGAACGGGUUGUAGCUGGCCUUUCGGGGCAUGUGCACACCUGGCUCAUCCACUCUUCAACCUCUGUGCACUUGUUGUAGGUCGGUAGAAGAGCGAGCAUUUAAUGCUUGCUUGGAAGCCUUCCUAUGUUUUACUACAAACGCUUCAGUUUAAGAAUGUUUACCUGCGUAUAACGCAUUUAUAUACAACUUUCAGCAACGGAUCUCUUGGCUCUCGCAUCGAUGAAGAACGCAGCGAAAUGCGAUAAGUAAUGUGAAUUGCAGAAUUCAGUGAAUCAUCGAAUCUUUGAACGCACCUUGCGCUCCCUGGUAUUCCGGGGAGCAUGCCUGUUUGAGUGUCAUGGUAUUCUCAACCUUCAUAACUUUUGUUAUCGAAGGCUUGGACUUGGAGGUUGUGCUGGCUUCUAGUUAAGUCGGCUCCUCUUAAAUGUAUUAGCGUGAGUGUAACGGAUCGCUUCGGUGUGAUAAUUAUCUGCGCCGUGGUCGUGAAGUAACAUAAGCUUGCGCUUCUAACCGUCCUUCAGUUGGACAAUUACUUUGACAUCUGACCUCAAAUCAGGUAGGACUACCCGCUGAACUUAAGCAUAUCAAUAAGCGGAGGAAAAGAAACUAACAAGGAUUCCCCUAGUAACUGCGAGUGAAGCGGGAAAAGCUCAAAUUUAAAAUCUGGCAGUCUUUGGCUGUCCGAGUUGUAAUCUGGAGAAGCGUCUUCCGCGC
rnacentral:rRNA from 1 species